GCGGUCGAUCGCGGUUUGCGGGACUGGGUGCUAAAACCAUUGCCUCAAUAAAAACAAAAACACUUGUGGUUUGGUUUGCGAACACUGAUAUAUUCUAUUACAAAGUUACAAUUUAAAGUGCUCGAUUAAAUGUCUGCGAAUUCAGAGAAUACGGAGUAAAUAUGCAAUUAUUGGUACAUAACAUGAAUUUAUGGUCGGUGCUGUGAUGUAGAUGCAGUGACAAGGAAAACAAUACAGAACAGCAAUUCCACUAGUGCAAAUAAGUGGAUUGUUGAACGCAUAAAUGUUUCGAGUUCUUGCUUGAGAGGUCCUCCGAAGAUUUGAAAUGUUAAAUUGCUAUGCUCAUAUAGCAUCCAAACAUGCAGAGGCCAACAACAGUUUAUGCUAAGCAAAAUAGCACUGGCUAAUAAGGUUCAAUGAGUCCAUUUGGUAUGUACAACAAGCUGCCAUAGGAUUGAUUUCUCUUUGAUCUAUCUAUCCAAACUCGUUAUAACUUGUUCAAAACCGAGAUUGCCCACCACUGUUAUAUCACAGAUCAAUUUUUCUAUCUUAUGGAUAGGAAAACGUAUCAAUAAAAAGAGCCUUUCUUAAACUUAAAAAUGUUUGGAGAUGCAGUGACAUCUCAUAUAAUACAAAAAUCAGAAUCAUCAAAAGUAGUGUGAAAUAUAUUUCAUUAUAUAGCUGUACAACUUGGAGCUGGACAGAAGCGACUUCCCGCAAAAUCCAAGUUUUCAUAAAUCGCUGCCUAAGACAAAUACUUCGAAUUUUCUGGCCAACCCGUAUUCCAAAUUAAGAAUUGCAAUUGAGAACAAACCAUGCCCCUGUCUAUGUAGAAAUCCGAUAGAGAUAAUGGACUUGAUUAGGUCAUAUCCUACGCGCGAUCAUAUAGCAAGAAAUGUCCUAGAUUGGAAUCCAAAAGGACAGCGAUGGAGGUGACGUCCGAAAAACACAUAGAUACGCUGUCCGAAAACAGAGUUGGAAGCAACUUGUAUAUUGCGGAAUCAAGCCAAGGCUUUGGCCAACGAUAGAGUUAGAUGAAGAGAACUUGUUGAUGUCCUAUGCUCACGCUAUGGUGGUGCGUUCAAAACAAUCAGUUGAUAUACUAGGUAGCCAAAAAACAAACUCUAACUUUUGUGAUAAAAUAGUUUAAAUCAGAAUAUUUCUAACACUAAUUUAAAAUUUUUGAGGCCUCCCCAUCGCAGAGGUUACCACCGCAGCGUACAUACGAUUCUGAACGCUUGUGUUCGAAUCAUGGCGAGCAACAGUUUAAGUCGAUUUGCCAGAAAUUCUUAUAAAAAAUAGCAGAAAGUUUUGAUUCGGACAAACAAUAUGCCCAUUUAUCUUUUGCCAUUGUUUUGAAUACAUAUUUAUGCUCUACACCACAACCCCGUAACAGUUGCAAUGCUAAGAAGUAGUAUUUUUUGUAGCGUUUUAGUCAUAUUUGGUCUAACGACUUGACUAAUAAAUGAGCAAAUUAAAUUAGAGUUAAAAAUAUAAGACCCAUUGUUUAAAAUACCGAUCGGCUAAGAAUGACUUUAUAGACAAAAUCUCAGCGUAACAUUCCCUAAUGACAAAAUCUUAGCGCCAGGGGCGGACCCUCCUCAAAGCUAUUUUUUUAAAGACAAAAUUUCAU
rnacentral:sRNA from 1 species